rnacentral:rRNA from 1 species
CAGCCGCCACGGGAAUACGUAGGGUGCAAGCGUUAAUCGGAAUUACUGGGCGUAAAGCGUGCGUAGGCGGUUUGUUAAGUCUGUUGUGAAAUCCCCGGGCUCAACCUGGGAAUGGCAAUGGAUACUGGCUCGCUAGAGUGUGUCAGAGGAUGGUGGAAUUCCCGGUGUAGCAGUGAAAUGCGUAGAGAUCGGAAGGAACAUCUGCGGCGAAGGCGACUAUCUGGGCCAACACUGACACUGAGGCACGAAAGCGUGGGGAGCAAACAGGAUUAGAUACCCCAGUAGUCCCUGUCUCUUAUAC